ensembl:lncRNA
CAAAUGAGUGUGAGUGAUUUCCUUGCCAAACCAACUCCUUCUAGGGUGAAAUCACUGAUCACAGAUAAAUGCGUGAAUUUCUGUUGUAUGGACAUUCGGUCAUUUGAAACGGUAGCAGGGAACGGUUUCAUCCAGUUAGUGCAAGAGCUAAUAAAUGUAGGCGCAGCCCAUGGACGUCUGUCAGCAACAAGUUUACUCCCUGACUCCACCACAAUCUCUCGAAAGUGCAAAGAACUGGCGACUGCUAAGAGAGGGGACGUGGUUGAAGAAAUCAAGGGGGUCAUGUCGUUGAUAAAUGUGGGCAUGACAACUGACAUGUGGACGGAUGAUCACCGUAAAAUAAGCUACAUGUCAAUCACAUGUCACUAUGUCACACCACAGUAUGACAUGAAGAGCAGGGUACUCACCACAACAAGCUUCCCAAACGAGGCCAAAACAGCAGACAAUAUUCGAAAAGAGUUGCAGCAGCAAUUAGUCUCAGUCCUUGGAUUUGAUGCCUCGGUGAUGAAUUGUGUUGUCUGGGUAACCGAUCAGGGCGCUAAUUAUGUUGCAGCUCUUCGCCCAUACCGGCGCCUGGACUGUCAAGACCACCUGUACAACACUGUCCUCCGGCAUGCCUUGAACCCAGAUGAGCUUUCAGAAACAGUCCCAGAAGUAGCAGAGACCCUGCAGGCCGCCAAGGCUUUAGUCCGAUAUUUAAAGCAGUCAGGUCUGACAAGCCGGUUGUCAAAAACUGUCAAACAGAUGGCAGAAACCAGAUUUAGCACCGUAUUUCUCACCCUGGAGUCAAUUGAGUCAGUCUACGCAGAGUUACAGGAGAUACUUCAGAGCUGUGGUGAGAGCCAGCGACUACACGAUGUGUCCCCUGAUGUGCUGGCUUUCCUGGUGCAAUUUCUGCGCCCGUUCUACGACGCACAAAGGGAGUUGGAGGGGGAUAAAUACCCAACACUGAACCUCGUCGUGCCCUGGCUUCACAAGCUGAAACUCCAUUGCCAGCCAGAUGUGUCGGACACUCCUUCCCAAGCAAUUAUCCGCCAACGACACCUUGAGUGGAUAAUAAAGAAAGUCCACAUCCAGCCACUUCACAAACUUGCCAUAUUCUUAUGGCCAAAGUUCAGACAGUUAAGGAUGUUUACCAACGCCGAGAGGGAUGACAUCUUUCAGCUGGCCAAACGUCAGAUAGCCCGCUUCAGAGAGGAGGGGACGGCAGUGCAAGGAGCGGAUCAAGCAGCCGGUGAGAUUUUCUUUUAAGUGUGUGUAUUAUUAUUAUUAUU